GCAGUGCCUCAUCCUGUACUCAUCUGCAUUUCCUCAUACUGAAAGGCACUAACCUGCAUUACUUCAUCCUGAACUUGCCCGAAUUACAUCUUACCGAAAGACUUUCCUUAUCAGCUUCUAAGAAUCCUGAUUUGUGGCGUAUUGCCUUCAUUGAAGAAUCUUAACUGCUUCAAUUGCUGCAUCACUGCAUGAUCUCAUAAGCAACCUGCAU